rnacentral:rRNA from 1 species
UGGGGAAUUUUGGACAAUGGGCGAAAGCCUGAUCCAGCAAUGCCGCGUGUGUGAAGAAGGCCUUCGGGUUGUAAAGCACUUUUGUCCGGAAAGAAAUCCUUGGCUCUAAUACAGUCGGGGGAUGACGGUACCGGAAGAAUAAGCACCGGCUAACUACGUGCCAGCAGCCGCGGUAAUACGUAGGGUGCAAGCGUUAAUCGGAAUUACUGGGCGUAAAGCGUGCGCAGGCGGUUUGCUAAGACCGAUGUGAAAUCCCCGGGCUCAACCUGGGAACUGCAUUGGUGACUGGCAGGCUAGAGUAUGGCAGAGGGGGGUAGAAUUCCACGUGUAGCAGUGAAAUGCGUAGAGAUGUGGAGGAAUACCGAUGGCGAAGGCAGCCCCCUGGGCCAAAUACUGACGCUCAUGCACGAAAGCGUGGGGAGCAAACAGGAUUAGAUACCCUGGUAGUCCACGCCCUAAACGAUGUCAACUAGUUGUUGGGGAUUCAUUUCCUUAGUAACGUAGCUAACGCGUGAAGUUGACCGCCUGGGGAGUACGGUCGCAAGAUUAAAACUCAAAGGAAUUGACGGGGUCAUAGCUG